CCCCCCCCGCCCUGUGGAAUCGACGGGCUACGCUGUCCUCUGAUCUGCGGUAGGCUUCUAUUGUGAGUCAACCCUGCAGGUAACUGUGUGGCUCGAAAUCCAGAAUUCCAGGAAGAAUUUUACAAAAGGAAAUCCAUUACCAUAUGAAUCUGUGCAUUUGGGGUGAGACACAAAUUUGGAUGCCACGAUCAGAAUUGCUCUUGCCACCCUUGGACAGGGUCUUGCUAUGUUAACCCAGGGUAGCCUGAAAUCACAAUCCUCCUGCCUCAGCUUCAUGAGUGCGGGGCUCACAGGUGGGUGCCACCUAGCUCAUUUUUGUUGUCUUUUUCCUCCCUUUCUUUUUUCUCCUCUUCUUUUUUCUCCUUUCUCCUCUUCUGCUUUGCAGUGCUGAGGGGCAAACC
rnacentral:lncRNA from 1 species